rnacentral:lncRNA from 1 species
UGGGAGCACGUACCAUGUAUUCAGCAACGUCAAGCAUGUUAAAAUUGGAAUUUUCCCUGUUACAAGCGAGUUAAUCUACUGGUUUGUAACCCGAAGGUGGACGUCUGAAGGUAAUUAAUUAAUCUCAACAUCCCUUCCAUUGGUAGAUGUUCACUUCUUUAGUUAUUUUUCAUGAUCAUUUGCUGACAGAUUCAAAGAUUUCAAGAGAUCGAAUGCUUAUAAAAGAAUCAACAGUGGAAUUACUGAAGAAUUUUCCACAGGAAAUAGUAGAGCUGAUAGAGUAUAGUGACCUGGAAUCGUUGCAUCUAACAGAUUUGAGAUACAGAUCGCCAUGGGAAGUGCUGAUGACGAACUUCAGAAAAGGGACAAUGACAGUGGCCGGAGAUGCCAUGCAUGCAAUGUGUCCAUUUCUGGCACAAGCAGGAUCAGCUUCUCUGGAAGAUGCAGUGGUGCUUGCUAGAUGUUUAGGAGAAAAGCUGCAGAGUAAAGCAAUGGCGGACACACGUGUGAAAGAAAUGGUGGAGAAAGGAAUAGAUGAGUAUUUGAACAAAAGGAAAAUGAGAGUCUUCUGGUUGUGUCUGCAAACUGACCUUGUCGGUAGAGUCAUCCAGCCUUCAUCAUUGCCUAUGAAAUUGUUGAGUGCUUUCUUCCUAACCAUUCUCUUUAGUGAUCCAAAUCAGCAUACACGCUAUGAUUGUUGCGAGUCCUAGGAACAUAAUUACUUGUUUGACUAACCCACUAAUGCUAAGUUUGUGGAGGAUGUUUGGGAAAUCAGAAUUACAAAAUGGCCUGAUGAGAAAGGUAUUGUGAGAAGAGAA